rnacentral:tRNA from 1 species
UUCUAUGGCUUAAUUGGUUAAAGCACCGGUCCAGCGAAUACGCAGUCGUGGGUUCGAAUCCCACCAGGA